GCCUGUGUGGCUCAGUGGUAGAACAUCUGUCUUGUAAACAGAUGGUCCCCGGUUCAAUCCCGGUCGGAGGAU
rnacentral:tRNA from 1 species